GCCCGUGUGCCGCGCUUGCCCUGCGGAACGUGCAAAAGGGUCAAAACCCUAGCCGCCAGCAGUUCUCGUCAAGCCUCCGCCCCGGCCCCUCCCUGCUCUCUCCUGUCCCACGCCGCCACCCUCGAGCCCGCGCCACCUCCACCUCGUCUCCUCCCCGCUCCCAACUCUCCAACGCUGCCGCCCUCAAUGCCUCGUAAGGGACGCUGUCGACACGUCGGGGAUACGCAGCGACGGAGCUCAGCCGGAGCACAGCAGAAACCCACUCCUAACCCUAUUCGCUCGAUUGACAAGAGCAGGGCAACAGAUUGGAUCGAGGGCGCCUUGGCCUGGCCUGGCCGCCGCUGCCACCUGGAUUCACUAGCCGAUGUGUGGAGUUGCCCUGGCCGCCGCCUCGAGUCACCUCCGUCGCCGCCGCGAGUCAGCUCCACUAUUGGCGCCAGGAAUCUCGUCCCAACAAGGAAAAUUCCUAGGGAUUUGAUUGAUGGAGGCAUCACUAUUUGGCGCUGGAUUAUCCAUUUUUGCAGCACCAACAAUGUUGUUUUUGUUUGGAAUGGCCAAUUCUCAAUUUCUAAAUCAGCUAUGCUAUACUUCUUGUCAGGUUACAUUACCUUGCUUGGUUUUCAAUCUAUAUGUAGCACAAAAAUAGGUGACAUGGUUGGUUUGUAGGUUACACUAAGGAACACCACCAUAAGGAAAAGGGCAUUGCACUUCUUUGUUUAUAUUUGGUCUGUUCCUAUUCGGUUUGCUGUAGUACUUAAUUGCUACACCAUUUCAAGUUUCUUGCCGUUUCAUUGUAUUCAGUUAUGAUAUAUUUUUCAACUAUACAAGCACUUGGGGAAGUCAGGAAAACUGAACCAAAGACAAACACUUUUACUGGUGAUGUUGGUGCUUUUUUUAACUGGGAUGUGAAAGAUGCAUCUUAUCCCCUGAGAUAUAUUGCCUUUAAUUUCUUGAUUUUUCCCUGACAUGCUAAUAUAGAGCCAGAUAUGCAUGAUUCAUCAUACACAUUACAGUCAAUUAUCCAUUGGACUCUUUUGUCCAUAGAGGUGAUUUUGUUUGGACCAAUAGUCUAGGUAGUGACAUUUUGAUCGAUAAGGCACAAGUUUAUUUUCUUUUUCACUUGGGCCACACUAAAGUAAGAAUCACUGUCAGUGAAAAGAAGGCAUACAAAUCAUGAAGUUUUUGCCUUGGUUGUGUCUGUGUGCCUCGUUUAGUUGUCACUUAUUUAUUUCUAGGAAGUUAUUCAAUUCUCAUCGAGCUUUCCUUAUGCUUUCUAUUACUAAAGAAGAAAUUUAAAUACGCAAGAUUUUUAAUAUCUGGGGAGGUGAGAGGAGAUGAAAAAGGGCUGUAAGGGCGUACUUUGGUGCAUCUCUGGCAAAUGAUGUCUGGAUCCAUCUGACGCUCUUCCAAGCAGAGCAGUGCAGAUUUGCUGACUGGUACAACAUCUAAACCUUGGCUACUCUAGCUUCUUUUUACAUCUCUUAGUAUCAACAAAUAAGUAGGUUACAAUAUAUACUUGAAGAUUGCAGCAGGCACAAAAUGCUUGGCUAACCAGACAGUUAAUUGAGUUGUGCCUAUGAAGGGUCAGUAGAGUAGUUGGUUUUUUCUAAAAUAAAUGAGGAUUAGUUUGGUUGCCAUGUGACGGUAAGGCCAGAAUGGUGGUACUGAAAAGUGGUUCUGUAAUGGUCAUAUGUGUUCUAGAGUUGGAACUUGAUUCUUUUUAAGUUGGAGUGGCUAGGUUGUCUAUAUGUAUUGCAUUAUUUUUCUACAGUGUACUGCUCUUUCUAAUGAUUUUUUAAAGUUCAGUAUUUAAGUUUACGGCAUUAUUCUGCGGCUUACUGUUCUUUCUACAGCAUACUGUUAAUAUCUUAUGCUUUUCAACAUUACACGGUUGAAACCUUCUGUAUAAGAUCUUGCGCUUUCAACAUCUGCUCAUGGCGCUGUAUGUAUUCUGCUAUGAACUGUUUACAUUAUAGAGAGUUGUGGUAAUGACAUUUGUACGAUUCCUUUUAGCUGAUGUUGGUUGCUCAUACUGACAAAGGUGCGCGUUAACAAAUGAUUGCAGAGCAGUGGAGAAACAUGUUUCUACGAAUGUGCCAAAACUGGUGGAUUUAACUACAGGUAUUGCACCAUUAUUCUACAGGUAUUGCCGUAUUGCAUUAUCCAACUAUAAAUUUGUUCUAAACUCUAAGCCCCAUGUAAAUCUGAUGGAAGAUUGGGCCAUUUAAUUUGAACCAAAAAGGGUAGUAUGCUCUCAGUUGCUUGAAUCUGUCCAGACCUGAAAAUUAGAUAUACUUUGAAAGCUUGAUAUAUGAGUAGGAGAUAGUUGAUAAAGGUGUACCUGUUGUAGGAGAUUAUUAGUUGAUUACCUGCUUCUAUGCGGUGAACAAAUGAGUAAGCAAUUUUAGUUGAUAAAGGUGUAGGCAACGCACCUUUUUUCUUCAUUUUUUGUUUUGUACAUCAAAGAUGUUUAGCCUUUCCUGAAUAUCUUAAUUGUAAAACAGUCUUGAUGCAAUUUUUGAACCAUUCAGUCUGUUUUGUUCGUGCAGUUCAUGGUACCACAUCUGCAGGCUACAUCUUGUGUAGAUUUGGCUACCACAUUAUAUGAUGAUGUUUCACUUUGCUCAGUCAAAAUUUCAGAAAAAAUUUGAAUUGAACAUCUUUUUGUAGACAUACAAAAAUGGUCAGCAUUUUCUACAUCGCCCUGAUAACCAAUUCAAGCUAUUUUCUGCCUAAACUGUUGCGUACCUAUGAGAUGAGAUCAUGGGAUAACUCACGCAUGAGACCUGUGUAUUAUACUCCCUCUGAUCCAAAUUAAGUGUCGUGGAUUUAGUUCAAAAACCACGACACUUAUUUUUGAUCGGGGGGAGUAGUAUUUAAGAGAUUCCUUGCAUAUGCAUGAUUCAGAAAAGUACAGUGUGGGAUGCCCUUAUAAACUCAUGAAAUCUGAUCCUGACAGUGACAUGAUUUACUCUGUUUGAUCGAACAGGUCGAAGCCAAAGCUGUUUUUAUUUAAUCUGAUGAUGUCCCUGCUGCUUGCAGCUGUAAGCAAGGAAAUUGACUACAAGUUUCAAUGUCAACCUGAAUUUUUAUUGUGGAUGUUUGAGCGCCAACCUAGAUUUUGUUUAAGCUACUACAAAAAGAACUUUUAGGAUGAUUAGCUGUAGUACUGUGACAAAUAAUCAGGAAAGAUUAUUUUGUAGGAUGAUCAUUGUAUUCCAUAAUAAUAUUAUAGCCGCUGGCCGAACAAUGAAGGUUGCACUGCAACUACUCGACUACAAGUUUUAUGUGGAGUUUUGUUGUACAACCUGCACGAACUCAGUGAGAUCAGGAAUCAUCAUUGCUCA